GACGAAGGGGACAAGCGUUAUUCGGAAUAAUUAGGUGUAAAGAGUUUGUAGGUCGUAUGAUUAGUUUUUGGUUAAAGAUUGAAGGUUAAAACUUUAAUAGAGCAUUAAAUACUAACAUACUAGAGUAUAGGGGGGAAUACUAGAAUUUUAUAUUUAGGGGUAAAAUCCGUUGAUAUAUAAAGGAAUGCCAAAGGCGAAAGCAAGUAUUUAUCUUAUUUACUGACAUUGAGAGACGAAGGCGUAGGGAUCAAACAGG
rnacentral:rRNA from 1 species